rnacentral:misc_RNA from 1 species
UUACCAAUUUUAUCGGGGGACUUCGGUCCCUGUCUGAACCCUUGUCUUUUGCGUACUGUUUGUUUCCUCGGCGGGCUCUAUGCCUGCCGAUAGGACACCAUUAAACCUUUUGUAAUUGCAAUCAGCGUCAGAAAAACACAAUAGUUACAACUUUCAACAACGGAUCUCUUGGUUCUGGCAUCGAUGAAGAACGCAGCGAAAUGCGAAAAGUAGUGUGAAUUGCAGAAUUCAGUGAAUCAUCGAAUCUUUGAACGCACAUUGCGCCCCUUGGUAUUCCAUGGGGCAUGCCUGUUCGAGCGUCAUUUGUACCUUCAAGCUCUGCUUGGUGUUGGGUGUUUGUCCCGCCUUCUGCGUGGACUCGCCUCAAAGCAAUUGGCAGCCGGCGUACUAGCCUGGGAGCGCAGCACAUUUUGCGUCUCUCAGCUUGAAUGCUUGCGUCCAUUAAGCCUACACUUUUGCUCUUGACCUCGGAUCAGGUAGGGAUACCCGCUGAACUUAAGCAUAUCAAUAAGCGGAGGAAAAGAAACCAACAGGGAUUGCCCUAGUAACGGCGAGUGAAGCGGCAUCAGCUCAAAUUUGAAAUCUGGCUCUUUCAGGGUCCGAGUUGUAAUUUGCAGAGGGCGCUUUGGCGUUGGCAGCGGUCCAAGUUCCUUGGAACAGGACGUCACAGAGGGUGAGAAUCCCGUACGUGGUCGCUGGCCUUCGCCGUGUAAAGCCCCUUCGACGAGUCGAGUUGUUUGGGAAUGCAGCUCUAAAUGGGAGGUAAAUUUCUUCUAAAGCUAAAUACUGGCCAGAGACCGAUAGCGCACAAGUAGAGUGAUCGAAAGAUGAAAAGCACUUUGGAAAGAGAGUCAAAUAGCACGUGAAAUUGUUGAAAGGGAAGCGCUUGCAGCCAGACUUGCCUGUAGUUGCUCAUCCGGGCUUUUGCCCGGUGCACUCUUCUGCGGGCAGGCCAGCAUCAGUCUGGGCGGUUGGAUAAAGGCCUCUGUCAUGUACCUCCUCUCGGGAGGCCUUAUAGGGGAGGCGUAAUGCAACCAGCCUGGACUGA